rnacentral:rRNA from 1 species
UACGUAGGGUGCAAGCGUUGUCCGGAAUUAUUGGGCGUAAAGAGCUCGUAGGCGGUCUGUCGCGUCGGCUGUGAAAUCCCGGGGCUCAACCCCGGGCCUGCAGUCGAUACGGGCAGACUAGAGUGCGGUAGGGGAGACUGGAAUUCCUGGUGUAGCGGUGAAAUGCGUAGAUAUCUGGAGGAACACCGGUGGCGAAGGCGGCAUCCUGGACCGAUACUGACGCUGAGGAGCGAAAGCCAGGGGAGCAAACGGG